rnacentral:sRNA from 1 species
CAGCAGAAGAAAUGAGUAGCUAAAAUAUUGAGUGAGUGGUUAGAGCUUGAGACUGACAAUGGACGGUCUAGUUCAGCUGCAGAAGAACCUCGUUGAUUACACUGCUUCUCUAUUUCAUGAGGGUUUUUUAGAUGAACAAUUUAACCAGCUUCAGCAACUUCAAGAUGAAAGU